rnacentral:lncRNA from 1 species
UGAUUCUCCUUUCUUGCCAAAAAUUCACAUAGUCUAUAUGUUUUCCUUGAUCUGAUAUCCACCCAUCAAUGGUGGCAGGACGAGGUUGAGAGGAGGAGGAUGCUCCAGCAGCUCUGCGGCGAUGUCUUCUUGAAUCAUCCAUGGAGGAGUUUUAAGAAAAUGAGACUUUGAGAAGGUGAAGAGAAAUGAAGAGGAUUUUAGCUCUAGAUUUGAUUUCAGCAGUAUUUGGGUGCAAAGAAGUGUUUAAUAAUCGAUUAUGGGGGUUAUUUAUAAGAAAAAUGGAAAAACUAGUCGUUUAUGGCCGUUUAUAGCCGUUAUGGGACUCUCCAACGAC